UGAAGGAGGCUCCCACGUGAUGCGAAGCAGCACGUUAUAAUGGGGGCCGACGACAUGCCGCCGACGCCAGAGGCGGAGGGGGCGAUACCUUGA
rnacentral:sRNA from 12 species